rnacentral:rRNA from 1 species
CUCUACAGCCAUGCCACCCUGAACACUCCCGAUCCCAUCUGAUCUCGGAAGCUAAGCAGGGUCGGGCCUGGUUAAUACUUGGAUGGGAGGCCACCUAGGAAGACCAGGUGCAUUAAAAA